GUUUCAUCUGCAAUUAUUUCUCCCCUUAAGGAAUUCUAAGAAUUGUUUUUUUUAUGGAUACAUCUCUGCUAUUCGUAGUAGAUUUUGACGAAUUGGAGUAAUUUAUCUGCAAUUAAAAUAAAUGAAUUGUGUUGUUAACUCCCUGAACUUCACAAAAUUAUUCAAAUCCACAAUGUAAAAAGUAAAGUUGACCUAUUUGAGAAGUGCUUGUAAACUGUUUAAUAAAUUAUAAUAGAUAGGAACCAAUAAUAGAUAAGUGUGUAGUAUUUGUGGUUCCAUAAAAUGUGUGGAUAUAAAUGGUUCGAUCAAUAAUAAAUGGUUUGUUAUAGUUACAUCGAAAUAUAAAAGAUUUCACAAUAGCUAGCACUCAAAAGGACAUUUUGAGCGAGUACUAUAAUUAAAAUGGUUUUAAAGAUGUCAUUAAUUCCUUUAUAAUGCACUGAGGUAUGGUAGAAAUGUAAGUUUUACUUUGUAUUUUUUUCUCCUAUUGCAAUUUGUUAAUUCUGUCCAGUUGCCAACUUAAAGGACAUGUUUGGCAUACACUUAGAUUAGAUUUUUGUACACAAAAAUCAAUUCAUAAUUUAGCGGAUCUUGUCACGAUCCUCUUAUUAGACCAAUUACAAUGCAGAAAAAAUGAUUAAAUUGUUUGUUAUCCUGUUAAACAAAUGUAUACUAAAUGCCCUCAUUUCAUCACUUAAUUUUUUCCCUUGUGUGGAUAAUGAUUUAGAUAAUAAAAUGACAUAUGGUUCUUAAAUUGACUGGUAGACAUGGUUCUUCGAUCUAUAUAGAGGUUCUUGCAAAU
rnacentral:lncRNA from 1 species